CAUAGGUUAAUGAGGCGAACCGGGGGAACUGAAACAUCUAAGUACCCCGAGGAAAAGAAAUCAACCGAGAUUCCCCCAGUAGCGGCGAGCGAACGGGGAGGAGCCCAGAGCCUGAAUCAGCAUGUGUGUUAGUGGAAGCGUCUGGAAAGGCGCGCGAUACAGGGUGACAGCCCCGUACACAAAAGCGCAUGUGCUGUGAGCUCGAUGAGUAGGGCGGGACACGUGGUAUCCUGUCUGAAUAUGGGGGGACCAUCCUCCAAGGCUAAAUACUCCUGACUGACCGAUAGUGAACCAGUACCGUGAGGGAAAGGCGAAAAGAACCCCGGCGAGGGGAGUGAAAAAGAACCUGAAACCGUGUACGUACAAGCAGUGGGAGCACCCUUUGGGGUGUGACUGCGUACCUUUUGUAUAAUGGGUCAGCGACUUAUAUUCUGUAGCAAGGUUAACCGAAUAGGGGAGCCGGAGGGAAACCGAGUCUUAAU
rnacentral:rRNA from 1 species